GACUGCAGCACGCCGCUACACAGUGGGUUAUUGUUUUUCCAUUUUAUUUUGUUUGCUAUAUCACCUGGAAUUGCCCUCUGCCACAGAUCUUUUUUCUCUAAAUUAAUUUCUUAGUUCUAUGUAUUUUGGCUUUGUCACAGAAAGACUUGCAUUUCUAUUCAAAUCCCUGCAAUUGUUUUAUUUUUGUAGUUGGAGUAGCGUAAGAUGUUUACUAUUGUUGACAGAACUUCCCCCCCUUUCUCCUUCAAACAAUUAAAUGAGAUUUAUUGUGUUUUUUCAUUGCCUGUAUAAUUAUCCUAGUGGGACAUUGUACAUGCUAAGUGUCAACUGGAGAUUAUGGUUUCUGUUCUACCUUCCAUGUUUACUUGUAGUUCUGAUGCUAGAGCAAAAUAAAAAGAACAUAAACCCAAAUUAAUUUCUUAGUUCUAUAUAUUUUUUUGGCUUUGUUCUGCUGAUAAAACCCCCUUCAUGCUUGGAGGUGUUCAUUGUUUUUUUGUCACCUGUAGAAAAUAUGAAAAAUUCGUCUUAAUUACAACCCAUAACUGGAAAAAUUGAGGUCAUCAGUAGUAAAACAGAAAAAACAAUAGACAUUUGCUAUCAUGCUUUAUGUAUUAUUUUGUUUAAAUUAUAUAAACUUUGUUGAGUACAAUAUGAUAUGUUCAAUCGUUUCUUCUUCUUUUUUUUACAAGUACUUUAUUUAAAAUUCUCCAAAAGUUUUGGGUUUUGGUAUCCAACCCAUUUAAUUAUUAUUUUUUUCUAAUUUUUCGGCAAAAAGCACAACAAGUUAAUUGGGUUUGUUUGGAUUUGGGUAGUAUGUGGUUAGUAGUAAUCAUAUUUGAAUUGGGUUCGGCUGUUCAGGUAUUAAAAUAUAUAUUUUAAUUGGAUUUGGAACGGGUUCAUUUAGUUAAUAUAGUUUACGGGUUUACCUGUUGCCAUCCACACCUCCAGCAACCCCUUCUCCACCCUCUCUCUUAGUUCUCUGACUCUGACUCUCACUGCUGCAACUCCAAAUUCCAGCGCUUAUCUUGUAUCACCGUCCUGAAUCGGGUUUUUAUUGACAACAUUCUGAUCUAUCUUCUUUGUUCUUUUACCAUUUGUUUGUUUUCUCAUAUCUUAUUCUUCACUGCAUUACUCACUCUUUCUUCUCAACACAAUAUCUUGUCUUUUUUACCUUUGAUUUUUAAUUGAGUUUAAGCCAACCCCACUUGACCUUUUUAAUCAUUUUCAAAUCUAUAUUGUUCUUUAGCCUUGAAGAAAUG
rnacentral:misc_RNA from 1 species